CUCGCUUCUCGGCCUUUUGGCUAAGAUCAAGUGUAGUAUCUGUUCUUAUCAGUUUUCGGCGGAGCACUGAAGCACCGCUUUAGUAGAGGGUGGAUGUAAUCCAAUGAUGUGAUAGGCACCUGGAAGGAUGGUUUCAGCAGGGGCUAUGCCGGGCUACCCGACUGUCUGGGGGCAGGCCACUAGUCGAGUCUGAACCAUCU